AACGAACGCUGGCGGCAUGCCUAACACAUGCAAGUCGAACGAUACCUUCGCGUCGGGGGGCCCACGGGGGCGUAACGCGUGGGAACCCGUCUGUAAGCUCGGCAUAACUCAGAGAAAUUUGAGCUAAUCACGGAUGAUUUCUUCGUACCCAUGAUUUAUCGCCUUGGGAUGGGUGCGCGUCUGCUUAGCUAGGUGGUGGGGUAACGGCCUACCAAGGCGUCGGUCCGGAGCUGGUUGGGGAGGAUGAUCAGCCGCACUGGGACUGAGACACGGACCAGACUCCUACGGAAGGGAGCAGAGGGGAAUAUUGGACGAGGGGCGAUAGCCUGAUCAAGCAAUGCCGCGUGAGUGAUGAAGGCGUUUGGAUUGUAAAGCUCUUUUAGCCGAGAGGAUAAUGACAGUACCGGGAGAAUAAGCACCGGCUAACUACGUG
rnacentral:rRNA from 1 species